AGAUUGAACGCUAGCGGGAUGCUUUACACAUGCAAGUCGAACGGCAGCGCGGACUUCGGUCUGGCGGCGAGUGGCGAACGGGUGAGUAAUAUAUCGGAACGUGCCCAGUAGCGGGGGAUAACUACGCGAAAGCGUGGCUAAUACCGCAUACGCCCUACGGGGGAAAGGGGGGAUCGCAAGACCUCUCACUAUUGGAGCGGCCGAUAUCAGAUUAGCUAGUUGGUGAGGUAAAGGCUCACCAAAGGCGACGAUCUGUAGCUGGUUUGAGAGGACGACCAGCCACACUGGGACUGAGACACGGCCCAGACUCUACGGGAGCAGCAGUGGGGAAUUUUGGACAAUGGGGGAAACCUGAUCCAGCCAUCCCGCGUGUGCGAUGAAGGCCUCGGUUGUAAGAC
rnacentral:rRNA from 1 species